rnacentral:rRNA from 1 species
GUUACAGAUGUGAAAGACCCGGGGCGUCAACCUCGGAAUAGCAUUUGUAAACUGGCAGACUAGAGUACUGUAGAGGGGGGGUAGGAAUUUCAGGUGUAGCGGUGAAAUGCGUAGAGAUCUGAAGGAAUACCGGUGGCGAAGGCGGCCCCCUCGGACAGAUACUGACACUCAGAUGCGAAAAGCGUGGGGAGCAAACAGGAUUAGAUACCCUGGUAG